UGCCAUGAGCAGGUCAGUCAUUGUUUGCAUUUGCAAGGGAAGCCUAAAUGGUGACUUUGUUACAGCAGUCGUUAUUAUUAGGAUGUCCAGGCAGAUAGCAGCAGUGAAGGCCCAGUGUGCCAGGUGAGCAGUGGACAGAAGCAGUUCUUCUUGCUCAGGUCUCAAUGUUUGGUGCAACUCUAAGCAUCCAUUCUUGUUUUUGUGCUUUAGGGAAUCAUCUCAGUGUGUGCAUACCUCUGUCACCAACUGGCUGAUGGACCAGGUUUCAUGCACUUGUGAUCUCGCUGGAAGCAUUGCCGGACCCUGUGAUGGACCUCCCAGUUUUGCUUUUCAAGGCCCCAUCCUGGUAGCCCAGAGGAAUGGCUGAGGAGUUGCAGUGUACCCUGCAAUGACGGCGUCAGAAUCCAAUCACGCCCGACGCGUGCAGGCCAAGAACCCGGGCAUUCUGAGGAGGAUGACCAAGAGGUGACAGCUGGAACGUAGCAGGCAGACAGGGAGAUGCCCUUCUUCUGCAGCCAACAGGGAUUUGCAUCCCCAGAUGAGUGCAAGAUAAGUGGAAGAUGCAGACAGUUCAAAUCAGUGGCAGAGAGCCCCAGUCCUGGCUGAGGGUGUUGCCAUGAGCAGGUCAGUCAUUGUUUGCAUUUGCAGGGGAAGCCUAAAUGGUGACUUUGUUACAGCAGUCUUUAUUCUUAGGAGGUCCAGGCAGAUAGCAGCAGUCAAGGCCCAAUGUCCAAGGGGACCAGUGGACAGAAGCAGUUGUUUUUACUCAGCUUUCAGUUUCUGGUGCGAUUCUAAGCAUCCUUUCUCAUUU